CGCAGCCCCCCGGGCGGGCGGGCGCGCGCAGGAACAUGGCGGGGCAGGGCGGGAGCAGCGCUGGAGGCCGCGGCGUAGUGAUUUCAGACAAUUGGCCUGGAUACAGUCUGGAUUUGUUCACUUAUCCUCAGCACUACUAUGGUGACCUGGAAUAUGUGCUCAUUCCUCAUGGCAUUAUUGUUGACAGGACAGAACGACUGGCAAAAGAUAUUAUGCAAGACAUUGGAGACAAUGAUAUUGUGGUUCUCUGUGUCCUCAAAGGUGGCUACAAGUUCUGUGCUGAUCUUGUGGAGCACAUUAAAAAUCUCAGCAGAAAUUCAGAAAGGUUCAUCUCCAUGAAAGUCGAUUUUGUUAGACUGAAAAGUUACCACAAUGAUCAAUCUAUGCAAGAUAUGCAGAUAAUUGGAGGAGAUGAUCUUUCAAAGCUGACUGGCAAGAAUGUUCUAAUUGUGGAGGAUAUUGUUGGAACUGGAAGAACCAUGAAGGUUCUGCUUAACAAUAUAGAAAAAUACAAGCCAAAAAUGAUUAAAGUGGCAAGUUUGUUGGUGAAAAGAACAUCUCGGCCUGAUGGGUACAGACCAGAUUGUAUGUGGCUAAAUAAAAUCCAUCUAGAAGAGAUCCAUCCAGUAUUUGCUACUGAAGAAGUCUCUGGUCAGCUGAGCUGGGGAGGAGGGUAGAAGGAGAGUAGGCAGGUGAGUACCAGGAGGCAGCAUGAAGGGUUUUCAUUUGGGAUGUGGGAGAGAUGGAAAAUCUAUGAAGCAAAAGUUACUUAAAUGUUGGGCAUGGCUGUGAGGUUUUAGCCCUGUUAUCUGAACUAUGAUCCAAACAUUUUGUUGUACAACUUUUUACACAGUGGAGUGGUAUUUUUUAACAUUUACAAUUUAACCCAGUAAAUUAAGGCAUAUAUUUGACUGGAUUAACUAAUGUUAAACAUAUGAAAUAAGCAAUAAAAUUACUUCAUGAAGGGUAGCUUUAUAUUUUUAUAUAUUAACUUUUGAAUGAAACAAAUUUUAUCCUUGUUCAUUCAUAGUGUGAUGAAUUUUAUAAAACAUCGGAGAUCUCUUUUGUAAAUCACUGACAGUGGUGUAGCAUUUCUUCACUCGCCUAAAUUUACAAUUCCAAAGUGCACAUAACCUCCAAUCUUAAACAACUGAAUAAAUUCCUUACCUGAAUACCUGUAGAAUUUUUUAUGUGGACCUAUUUUUGUGUCUGUAAGAUUGGGUUUUCCUCUAGUUAUUUAGAGAACAAUUUGGAAAGAGUCUAAUUUGUUUUAUGUUGUGCUGAUAUUGCACAGACCUUCACGCUGAAAAAGAUGCAUGUCUGUGCUUGGCUUCAGGUGUGUGAGUUGUAUAACUGAGGUGCACUGCAUGCAUUUACUUUGUUAAGCAUGUGCUUGAAUCUUCAUAAGGUUGGGGCUUUAAUCUGAAAGCAUUUGACAUGUUCUGGUAGCACAAAAUACGAGAUAGGUUUUACUAUUCUUAGCAGACAAUAUAUAGAUCUGUGAAAGUUACUUCUGAUUUAAUAUUCCACAUAUUUCCAUCAUUACUGUGAUAUGGGACAGUAAUCUUCACACAUAGAUACCAAUGGAGCUUCCAAAUGCAAGCAGAAUGUUCCAGCUCUGAUUCUGGCUUCCUUCCACAAUGUGCCAGUGAUAAUUUUGUACAAAAUUAUCCUCUCCUCUCCUCUGACUCUUCACAUCCCUUUCACAAGUACUCUAUGGCUGAGAACUGUUAUGGGGCUACUGCUGACCAUGAUGUCUCAAUCAAAAGUAACAUAGCCCCAACUGACUACGUAUAAGUAGAGUUUGCUCCUUGAGAACCACAAAUGAAUUUAAAGGCUUAUAACUGCCACUGAUCUUAUAUUGAUGGUGUUUGUUAUUUGUCUCACUACAGAUUACGGAUUUGAAAUUCCAGAUUUAUUUGUGGUAGGUUAUGCCUUAGACUACAAUGAGCACUUCAGAGAUUUAAACCACAUAUGUGUUAUCAAUGAUCA